rfam:Dichanthelium oligosanthes cultivar Kellogg 1175 unplaced genomic scaffold Do_version_2_scaffold1360, whole genome shotgun sequence.
GGAUUUGAAGUGGAGCUCCCAUCAAACCAAAUGAAGGGUCGUUUUGAAGGGUGGUUCAGCUGCUCGUUCAUGGUUCCCACUAUCCUAUCUCAUUAGCUCAGAGAGAAAUUGUGAGAGAGAUGAUUUAUACUGUAAUUGGUUUGAGAUAGGCUCGUGGUUUGCAUGACCGAGGAGCUGCAUCGUCCCCUUGCUGGCCGCUCUUUGGUUUGAAGGGAGCUCUCCAUCUUGUCUAU